rnacentral:misc_RNA from 1 species
GAUGAAGAACGCAGCGAAAUGCGAUACUUGGUGUGAAUUGCAGAAUCCCGUGAACCAUCGAGUCUUUGAACGCAAGUUGCGCCUCAAGCCAUUAGGUUGAGGGCACGUCUGCCUGGGCGUCACAUAUCGUUGCCUGAUGCCGGUUUCCUCGUGAUGGGUGACUGUGCAGGGCGAAUGAUGGCUUCCCGUGAGCAUUGUUGCCUCAUGGUUGGUUGAAAAUUGAGUCCUUGGUAGGGAGCGCCGUGAUAGAUGGUGGUUGAGUGACGAACGAGACCCAAUCAUGUGAGACCCCUACCGAAUUUGGCCUUCAUGACCCACAUGCGUCUUUGGAACGCUCAUGACGAGACCUCAGGUCAGGCGGGGCUACCCGCUGAGUUUAAGCAUAUCAAUAAGCGGAGGA